AUUGAACGCUGGCGGCAUGCUUUACACAUGCAAGUCGAGCGGCAGCGCGGGGGCAACCCUGGCGGCGAGCGGCGGACGGGUGAGUAAUGCAUCGGAACGUAUCCCGUAGUGGGGGACAACCCAGCGAAAGCUGGGCUAAUACCGCAUAUGCUCUACGGAGGAAAGUGGGGGACCUGCAAGGGCCUCACGCUAUGGGAGCGGCCGAUGUCCGAUCAGCUAGUUGGUGGGGUAAAGGCUUACCAAGGCGACGAUCGGUAGCUGGUCUGAGAGGAUGAUCAGCCACACUGGGACUGAGACACGGCCCAGACUCCUACGGGAGGCAGCAGUGGGGAAUUUUGGACAAUGGGGGCAACCCUGAUCCAGCCAUGCCGCGUGCGGGAAGAAGGCCUUCGGGUUGUAAACCGCUUUUGGUCGGGAAGAAAGGGUUCUCUCUAAUACGGAGGACU
rnacentral:rRNA from 1 species